AGAAAUAGUAAAGGGAUGUAGAGAGGAGGGUGAAGAGAAAGAGGAAAGGGAAGGUAGGAGGGAUGCGUGGGUAUUACGCGUUCCAACAUAUUUUCCAACCCGAUACGCUUUUCUCCCCCUCACCCUUUUUCUCAAACGCGCGCGCCACCCCUCCCCGCCCGCCGCCGGUCUCCCUUUCUCCCACGGCCUCCAACCUCCUCUGCCUGCCUGCCUCCGCAAAUAGUCGCCACAAAGCGAUUCCCCGUUGCUCCUCGUGUUCCGCGCGAUUAUCAACCCGCUCGUUUCGUCCCGCGCCUCGCUUAUCGCGACACGUGCUUCCGCCGCCCGGCUCGUGGAAAAACCGACUCGUGGGGGAGGACCACACACAGUCGCUUUUCGACACUUUUUCGCGUCGGUUCGCGUGGGAAAGGAAAAGGAACGAGUUCGCCAACAGGGACUUCUCGAUUACUUCUUCUUCUUCUUUUUUUUUUUUUUAGGGGAAGAAGAAGGGGAGGGAUUUCGUCUCUUUUCGAGGGAUGAAUUCUCGUGAGGGGAGGAAGUGUGAGAGAGAAGGGUCGAUCGGGAGUGAUAGCUUCUAGAGAGAGGAGGAAUAAUUGGAAGUUGAGGUAACGAAGAUGUUUGGGUGGAACGAUACGAUUUAAUGGUGGUGAAAUUUUAAAAUUUUGCGUGCAAAGGGUUGUUGAGAGGGAUCGGGUGUAACGAUGAAACUAAGAGGAUUUUCUUUUUUUUUUUUUUUUUGUAAAAAUUGAAGCAGUGGUUAGAAAGAUAUUGUGAAUUCGCGUGAAGUUUUAUUGUGGUGCGUUUGAAAAGUUUGAGAGAUGAGUGUGGGAAUUGGAGAGAUGCGAAGGAGAAGAGGGUUUGAGAGGAUUUCUGUGCUUGAAGAGAUCGAUCGAAAGUGGAGCUUUUUUCGUGGAAAUCGAAGAUCAAAGUAGUGAGAAAAGUUUGAUUGGAAAGAUAUUAAUUUCGAGCGCAUUUUCUUCUUUCGUUCCCGCGAAGGAAAAUCGCAUCCAAGCUUUUUAAAGGCUGAAUUAAACUCCGUGAAAUCUAUUCGAUUCCAUUCGAAGGAGGGGAUUGCUCGUCCUCGUUAAUUCUUGCCUUGUGUUAAUUCUAUCCGUGCGAGUGAACACGAGAAAAAAAAAGGAAAGAAAAAAAAUUACGCAAUAUAGACGCACACGUGAGCGUGCGUGAAAGAGCGGCACAGAAAUACCUACUUGCGCGUUAACAAACGGCGGCGCAAUAUGGAAAAGGAAGUCGCUAUCAGGAGCCAGAGUGAUAAUCGUGCAACGAUAAAGAGCGACCCGGCUCAAAUUUAUUGAGGCUCGACGCCUCGCCGAUAAACUUGCUUUUAUCUGGGGAAGAGAAAAAGUGGUUGCGUUAGUUCGCGAGGAUGCUAAUCACUGAUUACCGUGCUGCGAUCCAACAGUCGACUGAUUGUGAGUAAUAUCGCGCUGUGCUUCGAAUCUUAGAAUUUAAGCAUUUCCUUUUUUCCUAUUAUUUAGAAAUUCUUACACUAUUCCUUGCAUCGUGUCGAGCUUUUGUUUUGAAAAAUUGGAUUAUGAAACUAUUUUGCUUUUGUUACUAUUUAGAAUUUUGAUCUUUUGUAUCACGAUAAUUUUUCUUUUUUUUUGUGUGUGUUAUUGGAAUCAAAUUUUCACUUCGAAAAGUAAAGUUCGAGGAUCGUGUAAUUAUUUCGAGGAUUCUUUUUCUCUAAAUUAUUUAAAUGUACGGAUGACAAUUGCAAUCCAGAAUUUCCAAAUAAAUAUAUCAAUAUUUAAAUCCUAUGUAUCGAUAUUUAAAUUUCGUCCAAUCCGCGAUUUGCAAUGGGAUACUCAUUAAUAUUAAAAUUUUGCAGUACACAAUUUUGCAAGAUAGGAAUUGUUAUCGAGAACGGGCGGUGAUUCACGAGAUUCACAGAUAGAAGGAAAAAAAGUAUUCGUAUUUCUUGGAACAUUUUUAUUAUUCAUGACGGAAUUAAAUUUUUAUCGCGACAUUCGUAGAAAUUUGCCGGUCACAAAUCGUUAAACAGAACGAAGUCAAUAGCGCGACUAUAUCAUCGAAACCAUUAUCGUUGAAUUCCUUUCCAAGAUCUUGCUAGAACGAUCAACAAUCACGAAAAGUUGUAUCCUUAUCCAUCGAACUGUCGAUCGAUCAUCUCUCGUCCCUCCUAAACUCCGAUCUAAAACUCCUUCUCAACUUGUAUCCCAACUAUAUAUAUAUAUAUAUUUACACGUGAUAUAUAAAUGAUUAAUAAAUAAUAAAUAAUCGAGAAUGUUCGUUUCAAUACAAUUCCGGAGGAAAAACAUGGAAAUACUGAAAAAUUUACGAUCUUCCGUCGAGUUACUUUAUUAUUCUCUCUUCUAUUGGCUUUGUUUCAAAAAGUUGAAAUAAAAAUAAAAAAAGAAGAAGAAGAAAAAAAUAGUCGAGAUUAUUUCACGUUAUCGAACUUGAUACCACACUUCCUACUCUCCUUUUUAAUACACGAAUAAAAAUUGCCGCUACGAUUCUCACGUUCGAUUUCAUAAAAAUCGUAUCGACAAUUUAGACAAAAAGUAAUCAAGAACGAUUGAAAAUUUACGAACAUUUCUUCCGAUAACUUAGUUAAAAUUAUUCCCUGUAAAAAAAGAAGGCACCAUUCAUAAAUAGAAAACGAGAUCGUGGAAGCGACGAAAAGAAAACCUUCAACAAAUCUCGAGUUCCACUUCAGCUGAAAGAAAAGAAGUUUCCACUUCCGUUUCAUCUCUCCUUCCAGGAGACGCUUGAAACAACGGUGUCCGAACAACGGUGUCAUCUUUCAGUCAAAUCAUCCUUUAUCGCGCGAUUCCUUAACGAUGCCUCUCAGGAAAAAAAUGGCGAAAGAGAAAAAAAGAGAAAAAAAGAAACGCCACGAUUUAAAAUCUCCGAGAAGGAUGAAAAAGGCGACGCGAUUCGAGAUCGUGGGUCCCGUGACGAUAAGAAACGAACGAUUGCUCGGGAAUACUUUACGUGACGGUGAUACGUGUGUGUAAUUGGUCGUAAAAGCAAGCGAGCGCAACCUCGCCUCCACGGAAUAACGCCUGGUUUACACGACUCUUAUACCUCGAAUACCUUGUGUUCCGUUCAUUUCGCGGGAAAACAAGCGAGGAGAGAGAGAGAGAGAGAGAGGGAAGGAGGAAGAGGGAGGGGGAAGAGAGAGAGAGGGGGGAGGGACAAAGAGGAUAGAGAAUAAUUGUUCGACUUCCGAUAGCAUUGUGCCGAGCUACGCGUUUCGCGCGCGCUUUCGUACGCUUUUGCUCGUUUUUCAUCCUUUCGUUUGUUCCAGUACCCGUAAUGAAACCGUUCAAUUCUCUAAUUAGCCGAAUACCUCGUGAUUCCAUCCGCGAGUCUGUAGAAAGUUCGAACCGAGGAGGGAAGGGGUUUUAAUUGGAAACUUCUGAUCCGGGCUCCAAGCUGACGUGUGUUUUGUAACAACUGAAAACAACGCGUUGUCGAAAAAAUCGAAUUCUUUUCGAAUUAAAGAGUAAUCAAGUGUUCUAAAAAUAGCGACAAUUAUUAAAAAAGUGUACUGUUUACUCGGGAAAAAAUUAAUCGUUCUUGAUUUCUCGUCGCACGCUUUCUCCCGUUUAAAAGAGUUUGGCUAAAUGUGUCU